rnacentral:rRNA from 1 species
CCCUUAGAUGUUCUGGGCUGCACGCGCGCUACACUGAUGCGCUCAACGAGUUUACGACCUUGCCCGGAAGGGUUGGGUAAUCUUUUUAAAACGCAUCGUGAUGGGGAUAGAUUAUUGCAAUUAUUAGUCUUGAACGAGGAAUUCCUAGUAAGCACAAGUCAUCAGCUUGUGUUGAUUACGUCCCUGCCCUUUGUACACACCGCCCGUCGCUCCUACCGAUUGAAUGUUCCGGUGAGCUCUUCGGACUGCGCGGUCUGCAGUUUCUGCGUUCCGUGCGGAAAGUUGUGCAAACCUUAACAUUUAGAGGAAGGAGAAGUCGUAACA